GGGUUGUGAGGUUAAGCGACUAAGCGUACACGGUGGAUGCCCUGGCAGUCAGAGGCGAUGAAGGGCGUGCUAAUCUGCGAUAAGCGCCGGUAAGGUGAUAUGAACCGUUAUAACCGGCGAUACCCGAAUGGGGAAACCCAGUGUGACUCGUCACACUAUCAUUAACUGAAUCCAUAGGUUAAUGAGGCGAACCGGGGGAACUGAAACAUCUAAGUACCCCGAGGAAAAGAAAUCAACCGAGAUUCCCCCAGUAGCGGCGAGCGAACGGGGAGGAGCCCAGAGCCUGAAUCAGCAUGUGUGUUAGUGGAAGCGUCUGGAAAGGCGCGCGAUACAGGGUGACAGCCCCGUACACAAAAGCGCAUGUGCUGUGAGCUCGAUGAGUAGGGCGGGACACGUGGUAUCCUGUCUGAAUAUGGGGGGACCAUCCUCCAAGGCUAAAUACUCCUGACUGACCGAUAGUGAACCAGUACCGUGAGGGAAAGGCGAAAAGAACCCCGGCGAGGGGAGUGAAAAAGAACCUGAAACCGUGUACGUACAAGCAGUGGGAGCACCCUUUGGGGUGUGACUGCGUACCUUUUGUAUAAUGGGUCAGCGACUUAUAUUCUGUAGCAAGGUUAACCGAAUAGGGGAGCCGGAGGGAAACCGAGUCUUAACCGGGCGUUAAGUUGCAGGGUAUAGACCCGAAACCCGGUGAUCUAGCCAUGGGCAGGUUGAAGGUUGGGUAACACUAACUGGAGGACCGAACCGACUAAUGUUGAAAAAUUAGCGGAUGACCUGUGGCUGGGGGUGAAAGGCCAAUCAAACCGGGAGAUAGCUGGUUCUCCCCGAAAGCUAUUUAGGUAGCGCCUCGUGAAUUCAUCUCCGGGGGUAGAGCACUGUUUCGGCUAGGGGGCCAUCCCGGCUUACCAACCCGAUGCAAACUGCGAAUACCGGAGAAUGUUAUCACGGGAGACACACGGCGGGUGCUAACGUCCGUCGUGAAGAGGGAAACAACCCAGACCGCCAGCUAAGGUCCCAAAGUCAUGGUUAAGUGGGAAACGAUGUGGGAAGGCCCAGACAGCCAGGAUGUUGGCUUAGAAGCAGCCAUCAUUUAAAGAAAGCGUAAUAGCUCACUGGUCGAGUCGGCCUGCGCGGAAGAUGUAACGGGGCUAAACCAUGCACCGAAGCUGCGGCAGCGACGCUGAUGCGUUGUUGGGUAGGGGAGCGUUCUGUAAGCCUGCGAAGGUGGCCUGUGAGGGUUGCUGGAGGUAUCAGAAGUGCGAAUGCUGACAUAAGUAACGAUAAAGCGGGUGAAAAGCCCGCUCGCCGGAAGACCAAGGGUUCCUGUCCAACGUUAAUCGGGGCAGGGUGAGUCGACCCCUAAGGCGAGGCCGAAAGGCGUAGUCGAUGGGAAACGGGUUAAUAUUCCCGUACUUGGUGUUACUGCGAAGGGGGGACGGAGAAGGCUAUGUUGGCCGGGCGACGGUUGUCCCGGUUUAAGCGUGUAGGUGUGUGUUCCAGGUAAAUCCGGUUCACUUUAACACUGAGGCGUGAUGACGAGGCACUACGGUGCUGAAGCAACAAAUGCCCUGCUUCCAGGAAAAGCCUCUAAGCAUCAGGUAACAUCAAAUCGUACCCCAAACCGACACAGGUGGUCAGGUAGAGAAUACCAAGGCGCUUGAGAGAACUCGGGUGAAGGAACUAGGCAAAAUGGUGCCGUAACUUCGGGAGAAGGCACGCUGACAUGUAGGUGAAGUGAUUUACUCACGGAGCUGAAGUCAGUCGAAGAUACCAGCUGGCUGCAACUGUUUAUUAAAAACACAGCACUGUGCAAACACGAAAGUGGACGUAUACGGUGUGACGCCUGCCCGGUGCCGGAAGGUUAAUUGAUGGGGUCAGCGCAAGCGAAGCUCCUGAUCGAAGCCCCGGUAAACGGCGGCCGUAACUAUAACGGUCCUAAGGUAGCGAAAUUCCUUGUCGGGUAAGUUCCGACCUGCACGAAUGGCGUAAUGAUGGCCAGGCUGUCUCCACCCGAGACUCAGUGAAAUUGAACUCGCUGUGAAGAUGCAGUGUACCCGCGGCAAGACGGAAAGACCCCGUGAACCUUUACUAUAGCUUGACACUGAACAUUGAGCCUUGAUGUGUAGGAUAGGUGGGAGGCUUUGAAGUGUGGACGCCAGUCUGCAUGGAGCCGACCUUGAAAUACCACCCUUUAAUGUUUGAUGUUCUAACGUGGACCCGUGAUCCGGGUUGCGGACAGUGUCUGGUGGGUAGUUUGACUGGGGCGGUCUCCUCCUAAAGAGUAACGGAGGAGCACGAAGGUUGGCUAAUCCUGGUCGGACAUCAGGAGGUUAGUGCAAUGGCAUAAGCCAGCUUGACUGCGAGCGUGACGGCGCGAGCAGGUGCGAAAGCAGGUCAUAGUGAUCCGGUGGUUCUGAAUGGAAGGGCCAUCGCUCAACGGAUAAAAGGUACUCCGGGGAUAACAGGCUGAUACCGCCCAAGAGUUCAUAUCGACGGCGGUGUUUGGCACCUCGAUGUCGGCUCAUCACAUCCUGGGGCUGAAGUAGGUCCCAAGGGUAUGGCUGUUCGCCAUUUAAAGUGGUACGCGAGCUGGGUUUAGAACGUCGUGAGACAGUUCGGUCCCUAUCUGCCGUGGGCGCUGGAGAACUGAGGGGGGCUGCUCCUAGUACGAGAGGACCGGAGUGGACGCAUCACUGGUGUUCGGGUUGUCAUGCCAAUGGCACUGCCCGGUAGCUAAAUGCGGAAGAGAUAAGUGCUGAAAGCAUCUAAGCACGAAACUUGCCCCGAGAUGAGUUCUCCCUGAGACUUAGAGUCUCCUGAAGGAACGUUGAAGACGACGACGUUGAUAGGCCGGGUGUGUAAGCGCAGCGAUGCGUUGAGCUAACCGGUACUAAUGAACCGUGAGGCUUAACCUUACAACGCCGAAG
rnacentral:rRNA from 1 species